rnacentral:rRNA from 1 species
CCUACGGGGUGCAGCAGUGAGGAAUAUUGGUCAAUGGGCGCGAGCCUGAACCAGCCAAGUAGCGUGAAGGAUGACUGCCCUCCGGGUUGUAAGCUUCUUUUAUAAAGGAAUAAAGUGAGGCACGUGUGCCUUUUUGUAUGUACUUUAUGAAUAAGGAUCGGCUAACCCCGUGCCAGCAGCCGCGGUACUAGGGGGGAUCCGAUGGUUAUCGGGAUUUAUUUUGUUUAAAGGGAGCGAAGGCGGGCGGUUAAGUUAGCGGGAAAAGCCCGGGGCUCAACCCCGGAGAGCCGUUGAAACUGGCUGUCUUGAGAUGUCGAGAGGUAUGCAGAAUGCGCAGUGUAGCGGUGAAAUGCUUAGAUAUUGCGCAGAACUCCGAUUGCGAAGGCAGCAUACCGGCGGCGAUCUGACGCUGAGGCACGAAAGCGUGGGUAUCGAACAGGAUUAGAUACCCCUGUAGUC